rnacentral:rRNA from 1 species
UACGAAGGGGGCUAGCGUUGCUCGGAAUCACUGGGCGUAAAGGGUGCGUAGGCGGGUCUUUAAGUCAGGGGUGAAAUCCUGGAGCUCAACUCCAGAACUGCCUUUGAUACUGAGGAUCUUGAGUUCGGGAGAGGUGAGUGGAACUGCGAGUGUAGAGGUGAAAUUCGUAGAUAUUCGCAAGAACACCAGUGGCGAAGGCGGCUCACUGGCCCGGUACUGACGCUGAGGCGCGAAAGCUAGGGGAGCAAACGGGG